rnacentral:rRNA from 1 species
GACGAACGCUGGCGGCGUGCUUAACACAUGCAAGUCGAACGGAAAGGCCCUGCUUUUGUGGGGUGCUCGAGUGGCGAACGGGUGAGUAACACGUGAGUAACCUGCCCUUGACUUUGGGAUAACUUCAGGAAACUGGGGCUAAUACCGGAUAGGAGCUCCUGCUGCAUGGUGGGGGUUGGAAAGUUUCGGCGGUUGGGGAUGGACGCGCGGCUUAUGAGCUUGUUGGUGGGGUAGUGGAUUACCCAGGCGUUGACGGGUAGCCGGCCUGAGAGGGUGACCGGCCACAGAGGGCCUGGGGUACGGCCCAGGCGGAAACGUGGGGCAGGGGUGGGGAACUGAGCACAAUGGGCCGAAGGGGGAUGGAGCAACGUCGCGUGCGGGAGGACGGCCGUCGGGUUGGAAAACGAGUUCGCUUGUGACGAAGCGUGAGGGACGGUAAUGGGGAAAGAAGCACCGGCUACCUACGU